CUCCAAUUUUCAAUCCUCCUGCCUCAGACUCCUGAGCUGCUGGGAUUACAGUUCUGGGGAUUGGACUCAGGACUUCCCCGGUGCCAGGAAAGCACUCCACCAGGAUGCUGUGUCCCCAGCCCAAGCCAACCUGUCAUUUAGGACACGGAGGGAUCCACGUCCCAGGGAAUCUCCCAGAGGCGAGGAUCUCACACCCACCAGGCCAGUGCUGUGCCACAGAGCCCCGCCCUGCCCAAGGGUUACUUGUCCCCUCCGUGGCGAGUCUACAACUGAGAGCCACC